rnacentral:lncRNA from 1 species
GGUUGAUCAUUCAAUGUUUGGUUGGGCCUUAGAUAGGGUCGAUAAAAAUUAUGGGCUCUUAAUGUUGCAUCUUGUGACCAUGUAAAAUUGGGAUGACUUUCCAACCCUAGGCUAUAGAUUGGUGCAUAAGGUUCAUUUAUGUAGCUUUCAUUGAAUGCACUCUCCUGUAUGAACUCAGUUUGGGUUGGGUUCAUCAAAUAAGGACACUCCUCCACAACAUGAUCUGGUGCACGCAUCCAAUGCACAUAGGUGCUAG